rnacentral:lncRNA from 1 species
UCGACCUGAUUUUAAAUGGGCAUCCACAUUUCUUGGACGCACUUUGGGUUCCACUAUCAGUCCUCUUGUGUUUCCCACCUUUAUCACAACCAAAUAUUAAUUUGUUACUUCUCCCUCUCUUGCCUGUUUCAGUAUCUGAAAGACUGAUAAUAACAGUUACUUUAUUAUCGAUUCCAACCUCUUUAAUCCAUCUGAUCACCUCUUCUCAUAUACAAAAUCUUUCAGUCGUUAUAAACGCAUCAAAAGUAUCUAAACAUAUUUGGGGAAGAUUUUCCAUUUCUGCACAAUAAAAAAAUUUCAAUAAAAAAUCCAAAAAAAAAAAUUGCAAACCGGAAG